UACGGAGGGGGCUAGCGUUGUUCGGAAUUACUGGGCGUAAAGCGCACGUAGGCGGCUUUGUAAGUUAGAGGUGAAAGCCCGGGGCUCAACUCCGGAAUUGCCUUUAAGACUGCAUCGCUAGAAUUGUGGAGAGGUAAGUGGAAUUCCGAGUGUAGAGGUGAAAUUCGUAGAUAUUCGGAAGAACACCAGUGGCGAAGGCGACUUACUGGACACAUAUUGACGCUGAGGUGC
rnacentral:rRNA from 1 species